GGUAGCAUCCUCUCGUAUCAUAAUUGGAUUCCUAUAAAAAUAAAAAAUAAAAAAAUAGGUAACUGUAGUGCACUAAGAGCAUAUCUAAUGGCCUUAUAGUCAAUAAAAAAUUGCAAAUGAAAUGUAUAGGACAUUUUAUCCCGUUUAAAAAUUGGUUAUUUUAAUAAAUUAUUUGAUUUUUUACAAACAAAAAAAAAAAGAUAUGGGGAAGAGUAGAGAGAGUGAUAUGAUAAUUUGUAGUGAUAUUUUGACUUUUUGAUUAAAAUCUUAACUCCCCAAACGAAGGUUUUGAAUUCAAUUGAAGAGGGCAUCUCAACAACAACCAAAGAUUUCUCAUGGAAGGAUAGUGGACAUUGUGGUGAAAUCUGUUGUGGUCAUCUCCCGUCUGAUUAUCUUCUAUUUGGCAAUGAUAAAGAGAAGAAGAGUCAUGCAAUUCUUAGGUAUCUUGCUUGUGCAUUUCCUAGAGUAGCUGAUCACUGGGUAUCCAUCUGAUCUAUUCAAAAGGUCAAAGAUCGAAUCAGUGUUGGAUUGGCAUCACUCUAAUUUACGCCGUGGCGCAGGUAUUUUAUUCCCAAUGUUUUGGUAUAGUAAUUUUUCACCCUUUUAUUUAUUUUCUAAGGUCUAUGUCAUUCUUGAUUAAUCUUUCCUUUUCACCUACUUAUGUUCUAAAUACUAUUCUUGCACCUGUACUUGGCCUUCAAUUGAAUCCACGAGCUGCUGCUGAAGGUGAAAAACUAUUGUUUGCAUCACUUGCAAAGAUUGAAUCUAUUUGGUUGAAGGGGAAUGGUCAGUUUUUGCUGGGAAGCUCUCAGUAGUUCGAGUGGAGGCAUAAUUAUUCUCUCACAUCAAUUAAAAGUCUUUUAUUUUGCCAUCUUGAGAUUGAAAAUCCAUAAAAGUUUCAUGAAGUUUGAAAAAGCAAGUUUUGCAGUGUAUCUUGUUAAUAUUAAUUGACUGACUUUAGCUUUGUGUGUGCUUAAAGCCUUGGAAACCUACCUUUUCCAACAACAUACUUAUUUUUAAGUUAUUAUUAUUGUAUUGCUAUUUAGUAAUACAACCUUGCUUUGGACUAAUUGCUAAUAGAUAUGGAAUCUUGAUUAGAAUAAUUAUGGUUGGUAAGCCUCUUAUUGAACGAUAGGUUGUGGAUUCGCUUAGUAGUCAUCCCACUGUUCGGCCAAUGCCACAUCAGCAACAAUCUCAUACAUUUUCAUCUCAAGAGGUUCACCUUUCAAACAAAGAGAAGAACAAGAACAAGAAGAACUAACAAGGUGAUUGCUUUUAGUGAUGAGGAGGCAGUGAGAUUUCAAUCUACUUUCUUACUAAUUGGUUGUAACGCUGCUUGUUCUAAGUAAACUGACAAGUAGACUUUGUUCAGUGGUCUGACAGUGCAAAAUGUUCUAAAAGAGAACUCUAUAGAAAUUUCCGAGGAAAGUUUUUUUGAGCUAAAGUAUGAUCCGGAGUCUGUUUUGGGUUAUAUCGAGGUAUUCAGCCCGUGUUGAAUAUCCUGUGGUUAUUCAAGCUACACAACUUUCUCUGUUUGGUUUCAACUUGGGAAUGUUUGUUGAAAAAAUUUCAAAAAAAACUAAACACUAGUUUGCUGGGGGAAAAAAAUUGAAAAUAUCUUAAACACUCGUCAUUUUCAUAUGUUUUUCUCUUUUGUACUAACGUUAUAUUGUAACUUCUAGGCAGUUCAUAUUAAUAUUUGGAAGAGUAUUGUAAUA